ACGGGUCCUUUAGUCGGCUUUGUUCUUAACUUUCCGACCUUACACUGACGAAUGAUUUAUCCUAAAAGUUGUUCAAAAGAUCUCGGGGUUUCAAGACACGAGUCAAUCGAAGAAAAUGCAUAAUUCUAUAGUUUGUACGCUAAAACACUUUUCGCAGAGAAAAACUCGGUUCGAGCGAGCAACAUGCGAAAUCGAUGACGACCAACAAAUCGGUGAAGCAAAAAAAAUAUUUCUGUCCGUCAUUAUUAAUACCUCUUAUGGCGAUUUCAGCUCGUGAUCAAUACUCAUAUCUUAGCAGAAUAAACCACCCAGCAAGAAGAGAGAGAAAAAAAAUCAAGCACAUGGAACCGUUUUGAUUGAGCGAGCGAAAAACGUCAAGCUGUGAAAUCACGGAAGCUUUCGUCACGCAACGCGUACAAGCCUUUCCUGGCGUGACGGAAAGUCACGUAAGCUUGUAAUAGGCAUCGCACCAUAUGUGGAGAAAGUUUUAACUUUUAAUGCAUCGCGUGGUUUCAUUUUUCUGAUGCUUUUGUCGUGACCUCAUAACAAAUAUUGUGGUGAUAUCAUAUCCCGAUUCUAAAUUCAUUGCAACAUGAUUUGGUCACAGUAAACUAGAAUUCGAAUGAAUGUUUCCAAUGUUCCUUUAUUCGAAUGAAUGUUUCUCUUGAUUGGUAUGUGCCAAAUAUAAUAUUAAAUGUCCAUAAUCUCAAUUUCCUCACACAAACAAGGAGUUAAUGGGUAAGUAUAUGUAAUAAGGAUUGGACAACAAUUAGCAAUAGGUAGAGUACCCCGGUUCCAGAGAUAUUCCCGCACUGCCGAAAACCCGAAAGCGCAACGAGCGAAUAUCGACGGCGAGGGCCUUAAAGCUCGGCAUAUUAUUUGGGGCCUAGGGGCGAUAGUCCAUUGGCAUCUGUGAGACAUUCAAGAAGUUGAUGUAGCCCCUUAUCAAUGAAGAUGAAUUUUCAAAAGCUAUUGAUACAAACGAUUGUUUGUCUAAUAAAUUUAUGCACAUCUCAACAGAGUGGUUUUCAAAAUCCUUUGCAACAAAAUGUAUUUGUUAAAGUGUAAUAGUGAAAACCAGAACAAAAGAGAACAAAGACAUUACAGUGUAUUAGUACUAAAUAAACAAAAUAGUAUUUCACGGGUUUUUGAAAACCACUCUAAGGAAUAUACCCCACCCCAUUUAUUAACAUGGAAAAUUAAAAUUUUAAUCGCGCUUACUACCAGACAAUUUGUCUACACGUGGAAUGGUUACCAAUCAUCUGAUCCGAUCCUUGUACAGCCUGGAAAAGUAUGACAGCGUCAAUUGCUGCCAUUCGCCCUGGCUUUCGUGACAAUUGAAGUUUAAGCGUAGAUUUAUAGAAGAGAAACGGAAAAGCCAGACAUACAGGAAAACACUUUUAUAGUUCUGACUAAGUUGGCGGUGGCCGCGGCUACCGGAAAAGGGCGUGUUUAAUAAGCAGGGUUUUAUACGACAUUUUUAUUGUAUUGCAUAGAUAAGGGAUAAAGAAAUGUAAAUUACUACUCUUGAAUUAAUCACUAUUGAUUUACUAUCCUUCAAUAGUGACACUUUUUUGGUGGUCCAAGGAAAUGUACGCGCACUUUGCGCAGCACUUAGUUAUACUAACUUCAGUUACUCAAAGCUUCAAUAAAUCGAGCCUUCGCGCUAAGA